rnacentral:rRNA from 1 species
GAUGAACGCUGGCGGCGUGCUUAACACAUGCAAGUCGAGCGAUGAAGUUUCCUUCGGGGAACGGAUUAGCGGCGGACGGGUGAGUAACACGUGGGUAACCUGCCUCAUAGAGUGGAAUAGCCUUCCGAAAGGAAGAUUAAUACCGCAUAACGUUGAAAGAUGGCAUCGUCAUUCAACCAAAGGAGCAAUCCGCUAUGAGAUGGACCCGCGGCGCAUUAGCUAGUUGGUGGGAUAAAAGCUUACCAAGCCGACGAUCUGUAGCUGGUCUGAGAGGACGACCAGCCACACUGGGACUGAGACACGGCCCAG